rnacentral:lncRNA from 1 species
CUCUUUUGCCUGAGAAGACUCCGAUUAGAAGAAUAGAAUAGAAUAUUCCCCAAUGGGGGAAAUUUUCUUGUCACAGCAGCAUCACAGACAAAGAGUGCAAAAUUGCAGUUAUAAAAAUAAAGAUCCUAAUAUUAAGAACUUCAAUAAAUGUAAUAAUUAAGAAAAAAAAUAGAAAAAGGAAAAAGGGAGAAGAAAAAUAAAACUAUCUACAAUAUACACAAUUUAAAUGCCAGAAAAAAGUGGUGGUAUAAAUCCAGUUAUUAUUACAGUUGGUUGUAAAGUCGUAUUGCAGAGGGGAGGAAUGGCCUGCAGUAGUGCUCCGUCCUGCAAGGUGGAAGUCUAAAUCUGCUGCUGAAGGAGCUGCUCAACAGACAUCUGUAGUAAGAUGCUGCAGAUGUUUUAUCAGUCUGUGGUGGCAAGUGUUGUGUUCUGCGCUGCAGUCUGCAGGGGAGAAAGCAUCAAACACAAAGAUGCAAAACGUCUGAACAUACUGGUGAAAAAGGCUGGCUGUGUUGGAGGAUGUGGUGGAGAAAUGUAGACUGAGGGAGGUGGAGGCUAUUUUAAAGAACAUGGAUCAACCACUUCACAACACCUUAAUGGACCAAAGGGCCAAUGGUGGUGGACAGCUCCUCUCUCUUUACUGCAGGACAGAAAGAUUGAGAAGAUCUUUUGUACCCACAGCCAUCAGACUUUACAACUCUUUUAUAAAUAGUAGAUGACUUUUGAGACAUGACCAGUGAGACGACAGACAAUUGGAUUUCCCUUCAGGGAUCAAUAAAGUUAUUCUUAUUCUUAUCCCUUGUAUUUUUCUUUUUUUUUGUAUGAUCUGGACUUAAUGGGUCUGAAAUAACCCUGUGCUGGGGCAACACUUAAUCUUCUGUAUCUUGUCCUGUGCUCUCCUAUUAUGCAAUGCAGUGGGGCGAGGUUUUUUUUUUUUUCUAAAUUCACUUAUUAGAAUGCCGAAGAUACUUGUAUUGAGUCCUGGUCUUUUGUUGUCACAUUAGACCUCUCUUAAACUUCAAUAAUAUUAACAGUAAAAUGUAUUAGGUUUAUGACCAAAAUUGAUUGUUUAGAAGAUUAUGAAGAAGAUAAUAGGGACAGAGAGGGUAGAUAGUGAGGACAAAGACAUGACUACUUCAAAAUAUAGAGACCUCUAGUCAAUAAAUACUGAGAUACAAGGACAUUUGCUAACUAAACUGUUACUUUUGUUUGAGUACUAAAAUAUUUGCUUUUGAAAAUGCCUAGAUAGACCUACUUAUUUGACUUUUUGAGAAAAUCUCAAAACAAUGUUGUUUUCUCAUCAUUCAUGUGCGCAUGUUUUAAAACUUAAAAACAUAAUUUAAGCUGACUUUAAAGCAAAAGUGGAGAGCAAUGAGAACAUGAUCUGGUUUGGUGGGGUCACCCCAUCUCAUCUCCAGUGACCAGGUCAAGCAUUACAUUCUUUUGGGGGUACUUAGGGUGAGAAAGCGGGCAUCUCUGCUACAAGACCCCAAUUUAUAUUUCUCUAAAGAAAUUAUGUAUGUGUUUGUUCUUUUUUUUUUUUUACUAUAGUAUUAUUUUAUUAUCUCCCAUGUUAUUUGUUCAAUGUUCCUUUGUCUGAAAUGUUGGGGUUGUACUUGGUCAUGAAGUUGACAGUUUUUGAUACAAAUAAAAAGUUCCCCUACUGCUAACCGGGAAGUGAAUCGGAAGCUGAGUGACAUCAAGGUAUAUUCCCCCCACACCGGACCUUUACCGACCUCCCAUAAUCAACCAAAUCCAGCAUCAAAUGAUCAGAGCCAAAUAAACUGUAGCUUUGUGAAACCUGAGGCCUGUACUAUGCAGCUGGAUUAACACACCCAGGAUAACUGCCAAAACUCACUUAACUUCACCAGAUCUCCGUAAUCCCGAUCAGCUGUACUACGAGGCAGGAUAUCAACUCGAUAACUGAAUUCAAUAGAGGGAAUUCACGCUGAUGUCAGUCGACUUCUGUCUGUCUGUGUGCAUCACAUCACAGAUGUGUCUAAAAUCUCCCAGAAUGAUUCCUGCCUUCAUUUAAGACAGAAAGAACAAACAGGCAAAGAAUUUUUUUGGAGACUGAGACAUUUCUAUAUCCUAUUAAAAAAAAUAAAAAUGAGGAAGCUCACUCACCUCAGGUUUCUCAAAAUGAAAAGUUGUUAUCCCGCUGCUGUUGCAGACUGUUUUCCUGCAGUUGCAUGAGAGACUGUGGUGUUACCAGUUCCAGCAAAUUUGCAAGAUGUACUUCAUUGUAUUUCUCAGUCUAUCUAUUAUUUGUGAGUUAACACCUUCCUCUUCUUUUUUGUCUAGGUAACCCUGACAGAGCUUGGCAGAGUGCUUAGGGUCAUUGUCUUUCUGCAAAACAAACUUAUGAGCCACAAGUCUGAGUCCAGAUGGAACAGCAUGGUGCUGGAGGAUGGAGUGGUACUGUUCCUUCUUCAUGAUACCCUUUACUUCAAACAAAUCUCCUACUCCAUUACCUACAAAUCUCCAUACCAUAGAAUACCAAGUGAAUAAUCCAACUGUGAUUUGCUUUUUGAUUGCUUUUCCACUGAAGUUGUGACUCUUGCAAAUGUUUUCAACCCUAAAACAAAGCCCUUAUUAUCUUUUGCUGACAUAUAUUUAGCAAUGGUCUGUUAACAUCAAUGUAUAUCUAAAGGUAAAUGGAGUAAAAUGGUGCAUUUCCAUGAAAACAACACCUAAACAUGGAGUAAAUACAUAAAACUCAUGCUGGAUUUUAAAAAAAUCAUUGUGAACAAUGGCCUUGCUUCCAAACUUUUGUAGUGUAGCUAGUAUAUGUAAAUGCAGAUUAAAAAAUUAUACAUUAUGGAGAUAAAUUAUCACAAUUCCACAAUAUUCUAAUUUUGGGGGAUUUACCUAUAUAGCACUUUAGGAGUGAAGUCGGUGCCAUCGCCCCUGGCAUGCACCAGCUUUCUGCAAACCUGGCACCAGCCAAGGACACAGGGCAGAUAUUAAUGUUUGUUCGAUGUUCAACAAGUUCAAAAUUUGUAUUGUCGUAUCAAAACAUUAUUCAUCUUGUUUUUAUUACAAGGGAUUGCACCAGAGGCCACUAAUAAAAUGGAGGUGUGUAGACCAGUGCCUACAAAAAAAAGACUGGUGUUAAAUGUAUGCUGUACAAGGCAUAUACUGAUGAUUAUGACUGAGCUCUUACCUAUCAUAUAAAAUCAAAAUUAGAAGGGGUUUUAUUGCCAUUGUCAAUGAACAGGAUUCACAGACUAGGAAUUUUUUACGGCGUGAUGGUGCAACAUUACAGUGGCCUGGAAGUGCAAAAAUACAACCGCAAAAGAGAAAACACAAUCUUUCGAAACGUUUUUAUUGAGGGUGGGUGGCCAACUUCACGAAGGUGGAAUAUAGGGAAUCUCUUUUUUGCCACAGUUUAGACUAACUUGGUGUUUUCAAAGCUUUUAAACACAGUAACUAAAGAAACAUCAGUGGGCACAUUUUUGUAAUUCAUCAUGGUUGUCAAAGUUCAUUAUUUGUUAUUAUUAAAGCUGUUCUAUUAAGGUUAAAGCUCCAUAUAAAAGUAACCCAUUAGUAAAAUAUCCCGGUUCGGUGCGGUUCUCCUCCUCUGAUCAUAGCGGCCUCCUUAGCAGUAGUCUGUUAUACAGAAAUAAGAGACCCAAAAUUUAACAUAUUUAUUUCUUUGUUUUCCUGCAGCAUCACAGACUAUUCAAACCCCUACUCUUCAGACCUUUCUGGAGUACAGAAAGAAGAAAGCAGAGGAGAGGCAAAAGUUUUCAUGGGCUAAAACAACAGUAAUUAAAACAGCAGCCUUAGGCAAGGAUGUCAAAGGACAUCAGUUAUUUUAUCAGCACUCUUUUGAAAGUGAUACAGCAUAAUGACAAUGCUUCAUGUGAUUCGACAUUCAAUCAUCAGCAUUCAAUAACAUUAAUCACAGUGGGUGACUAUUAGAUCUUACUCCUUUACCAGUAAAAAGUGUAAGUUGGAUCAAAUAACCAUGUAUCUUGAAGAUCUUGCAGGACAAACGCGACCCCUCCUCUCUCUGCACACACCCCAGAGACACUCCCAGUUUGAAGCACAUGAAACCAAUAAAGUUGGAGUGAUCAUGGUCUUGUGCUUAAUCUGAUGCUCUUGGUUUUAUCUUACUCCCUUACGCCUUUCUUUUUACUUGUCCUCUUCUACUCCACUCAUUUUUCCCCACCUUUUCCUAGUUUUACGCCACGUGACAGCCGACAGCCUUGUCGGACCGAUCUGUGGACAGAGAAUCUUUUAGUGAUAUUUGGGAAAAGCAGGACACUACUACUGAUGUCUUUAUAAAGCAUUCUGACAGCGGAAAUAAAUUUUUCUCCAAAACCAAAAAUUUGAAGUGAUCGAAAUAAGAAUUGAUGCUCUACGGUGUGGAAUGCCUGAUAAAAGUCCAAGAAUAAAAUCAAAGCGUCUGAUUCAACGUAAUCAGAGUAAUCCAUUAAAUCAAGAACAAGUCUAAUAUUACAACUUAUGUGCCGAUUAGCCAUAAAGCCGGUUUGGGUUUCAUUGAUGAUUUCACUUAAUCCUUUUUCAGUUGUUUGGCCAGAACUAAUGAGAGUAUUUUCAAGUCUACAUUUAAUAGUGUUAUCGGUCUCCAAUUAUCUAAAGAUAGGUGAUCUUUGUCUGGUUUGGGGAUCAAUGUUAUUAUUCCUUGUUUCAUAGUUGCAGUCAUCUCUUCUUUAUCAACACAUUCCUUUAUCAUUUCAAAGAGGGGUUUUCAAUUAUGCUCUAGAAACAUAGGUAAAACUCGUCAGGAAGCCCAUCCAUUCCUGGAGACUUUCCUUUUUUCAUCUUCUUAAUAGCUUCAGAUAUUUCAGACUUGAGUUUAUCACAGUCCAGCUUAAAUUCGUUGGAUAUUUGUGGCGUAAAUUCUUUAACAUUGUUUAUAAAUUUUUCACAUUCAGUUUGAUUAUGAACAGAACUGUACAGAUCAGAAUAAAAUUUUAGAGUAUAAUUGGCAAUAUCAGAAGGAUCAGAGCUAGUUGAGUUAUCUAUUUUCAAAGAUGUUAUAUUAUUUCUUCUAUAAUUCCUUUUUUCCAGGGCGAAAAAAAGUCUGUAUUCAUUUCUCCCUCCUCUAGCCAUUUGGCUCUAGAACGUAUAAAUGCACCUUUGGUGAGACCCUGCUAUCGGUAAAACCGGAAGCGGAGAUGACGUCGUAUGAAGUCCCACUACUCCCCCUAUGCCAGUUCUUUAUAGGUCGUCGACCGUAAUCAGUACUACUAGUUGCCAUCCGCCGUUAACUAAGAAGAGGAAGAUAAAGAAGUACACAUUACUGCUCGACCUCCAUAAUCGACCAAAUCCAGAUUCUGCAAACAAAAGAUCGGAGCCAAAUCCACCGCGACUUUUUCAAACCUGGUGAUCCGAAACCGAGGUUUAAAUUUCCGCUCCAACACCGAUUCAGCUCUGUUUCCAAACGCUCAUAAAGAAAAACAAGAGGAAGAAGUCGUCCACGUGGUACCGCGGUAACCACAAAGUUCUGUUUUCGCUUCUUCCGCUCUUGCGUUUGUGGAAAAUGUCCGGGUUUCAGGAUCUUGAUGAUUUAUUUAAUCGGCGGCUGCUGGCUGCGGUAAUGACGGACCUGGUCGAAAAUAGAACAGAGUCUGGAUACGAAGAGGAGCUCCGCCGCCAGAAAAAACUGCUGGCUGUGAUUUUAACACCCGAAAUCAAGCUGCACAGAGCAGGUCAGUUUUCCUUACACUUCUGGAUACAUGUUUCAAUGCCUUAACUGAAGCAAGCCCCACACACAGGCUGCAACAAACCAUAUUAAUGAAAUGGCAAAAUAAUAUGAUUAAACCUGAAAUGACUUUAGGGCAAAAAAAGUAUUUGUUUUUAAGGAAAAGUUUUAUUACGAAUUUAUGAAGUACUACACAACCGCAACAACAAAUACAACAGCUAUCCUAUACUGUUUUAUACUAUUAACGGCUGGACUGUGUCAAGUACUUGUAGUUUAAGAGUCACACAUUGGUUUGAUGAUGAUUCUGAAAAGCACAUGUUCCAGAUUUAUCUCUGUGGCCUACUUGAAAAUGUAAAUCUGUAUUGUCAGUCAGCAUUUCUCAUUUUUGUGCUGCCCAGCAGGCUAAAAUCCUGUCUGAUUCAGAGGGGUAAACCUUUUCAGAUAGAAUAGUUAACUUUCAUGUUUGUCUCGUCAGUGUUUCUAUACCCUUAAGCCCCUUUUUUUUAGAGGGCUUGAUAAACAUCUCACCCACUGUAACAGGGUAUUGGGGCGGGAAGAAAAAAAACUGUUUAAAACACUGAAAUUUCCUUGUUUUUCCAAAGUAUAUGUCUGUCUCCAAUUAUGAUGUACACUUUAAUGAUAAUUUAGUUCAAUAAAUAUCAGUGAGGGGAUUAGGAAUUGAAGCUUGGAAGGCUCUGCUGACAGACACACAAACUAUCACUACAACCUAGUUGAUUUGGAUCCAUGUGAACUAAAUGUGAGCUGAAUUCUGAGCUCUUAGUGUGAACUCUCACAAUGCUGCUCUUGGUUACCUGGGUUAAGUGUUUUAUCAACACUGUGAUUGGUUGCCUGGAACUAUUGUGCAGCAGCUUUUUGCACCAGGCUGCAUCCAUUCAGUUUUGCCCGAGAAGUUUCAGGAGCACAACAAUGAGCAUCAUAACAAAUGCUGAAACUGAUUUGAGAAUAACAACAGAUUUAGUGGUGCCUCUUCAACUAAAUCCAUGCUGCUGACAUUGUUCAGUUCUUGUCAGGAAUGUUGAAAAAUAGUCUGCUGCUCCGAGACAGCACAUACAUAGCUGGUGAGCUAAUUAAGUCCAACACUAGAGGGGGAAAUAUUAGUCCAUAAUCCCCACACUAACUCUUAUCUUUCUUGAGACUAUCAUUGAGUUUUUAAAUCUGCUUUCAUAUCUACUGAUGUUUUCAUCAACUUCUGUUUAGUUAUUGUUUUUCUGUGCCUUGCAGAUAUCCAGAAGGUGUUGGUGAAAAAAGAAGAGUUUCUCUCUGAGCAGCAGGGGAGGAGUCCCACUCUGGACCAGGGAUACACUGAGCCCCCGAACAUUUGCAAGGAACAGAAUUAUGGAGGACAAGAUCCAGCCAGUAACUACUCAGGGAUAAAUAUACAACGAAAGACUCAAGACUCCCCUGAACCUGAGACCGAGGGCAGUGAUGAGAAUUGGGAGGAUACAAAACCACAAAAGUCAAGUCUAAUGUCUGUGAAAAAAGUGAGAAAGAAGAUGCUAAAGAGGCUAGAGAAAUCACGUGUUGUCGAAUAUUCAAAAGAAGACAAGAACUAGCAAUCCACAUGAGAGUUCACUCCGAUGAGAGACCCUUCAGCUGCUCAGAAUGUGGCAAAACAUUCAAAACUAAAACUCAUCUGGAACAACACAUGGCAGUUCACUCAGAUGAGAGACCCUUCAGCUGCUCAGAAUGUGGCAAAACAUUCAAAACUAAACGAGAACUGGCAAUCCACAUGAGGGUUCACUCAGAGGAGAGACCCCUCAGCUGCUCAGAAUGUGGCAAAACAUUCAAAACUAAACGAGAACUGGGACAACACGUGAGAGUUCAUUCAGAGGAGAGACCCUUCAGCUGCCCAGACUGUGGCAAAACAUUCAAAACUAAACGAGAACUGGCAAAACACAUGAGAGUUCACUACAAUGAGAGACCCUUCAGCUGCUCAGAAUGUGGCAAAACAUUCAAAACUAAACAAGAACUGGCAAUCCACAUGAAAGUUCACUCAGAGGAGAGACCCUUCAGCUGCUCAGAAUGUGGUAAAACAUUCAAAACUAAAGGAGAACUGGGACAACACAUGACAGUUCACUUAGAUGAGAAACCCUUCAGCUGCUCAGACUGUGGCAAAACAUUCAAAACUAAAUACGACCUGGCAAGCCACAUGAGGGUUCACUCAGAGGAGAGACCCUUUAGCUGCUCAGACUGUGGCAAAACAUUCAAAACUAAAGGAGAACUGGGACAACACAUGAGAGUUCAUUCAGAUGAGAAACCCUUCAGCUGCUCAGACUGUGGCAAAACAUUCAAAACUAAAUACGACCUGGCAAGCCACAUGAGGGUUCACUCAGAGGAGAGACCCUUCAGCUGCUCCGAAUGUGGCAAAACAUUCAAAACUAAGGGAGAACUGGGACAACACAUGAGAGUUCAUUCAGAGGAGAGACCCUUCAGCUGCUUAGAAUGUGGCAAAACAUUCACAACUGAAAGAGAACUGACAAGACACAUGAGAGUUCACUCAGAUGAGAGACCCUUCGGCUGCUCAGACUGUGGCAAAACAUUCAAAACUAAAUUUGACGUGGCAAGCCAUAUGAGGGUUCACUCAGAGGAGAGACCCUUUAGCUGCCCAGACUGUGGCAAAACAUUCAAAACUAAAGGAGAACUGGGACAACACAUGAGAGUUCAUUCAGAUGAGAAACCCUUCAGCUGCUCAGAAUGUGGCAAAACAUUCAAAAGAGAAGGAGAACUCGGACAACACAUGAGAGUUCAUUCAGGGGAGAGACCCUACAGCUGCUCAGAGUGUGGCACAACUUUCCAAAGAGAACCUGUGUUGAUAAAACACAUGAGAGUUUGCACUGGAGAAAGACCCUAGAGCUGCCCUGGAUGUAAUAAACUCUCUCAGUCUCAGUAUUUAAAUUCUGCAAGCAUCUCUGCUAAAAUGAACACAUAGUUAGAGAUAGAACAAGUGUGUCUACAACUGCAGAAAAAAACAAGCAUGUAGAGUGGACUGGUCUAAGAACAUAGACUUCACCCACAGAAAGUGGCAGAGCCGCCUCUUUUGCCUGAGAAGACUCCGAUUAGAAGAAUAGAAUAGAAUAUUCCCCAAUGGGGGAAAUUUUCUUGUCACAGCAGCAUCACAGACAAAGAGUGCAAAAUUGCAGUUAUAAAAAUAAAGAUCCUAAUAUUAAGAACUUCAAUAAAUGUAAUAAUUAAGAAAAAAAAUAGAAAAAGGAAAAAGGGAGAAGAAAAAUAAAACUAUCUACAAUAUACACAAUUUAAAUGCCAGAAAAAAGUGGUGGUAUAAAUCCAGUUAUUAUUACAGUUGGUUGUAAAGUCGUAUUGCAGAGGGGAGGAAUGGCCUGCAGUAGUGCUCCGUCCUGCAAGGUGGAAGUCUAAAUCUGCUGCUGAAGGAGCUGCUCAACAGACAUCUGUAGUAAGAUGCUGCAGAUGUUUUAUCAGUCUGUGGUGGCAAGUGUUGUGUUCUGCGCUGCAGUCUGCAGGGGAGAAAGCAUCAAACACAAAGAUGCAAAACGUCUGAACAUACUGGUGAAAAAGGCUGGCUGUGUUGGAGGAUGUGGUGGAGAAAUGUAGACUGAGGGAGGUGGAGGCUAUUUUAAAGAACAUGGAUCAACCACUUCACAACACCUUAAUGGACCAAAGGGCCAAUGGUGGUGGCAGCUCCUCUCUCUCUACUGCAGGACAGAAAGAUUGAGAAGAUCUUUUGUACCCACAGCCAUCAGACUUUACAACUCUUUUAUAAAUAGUCGAUGACUUUUGAAACAUGACCAGUGAGACGACAGACAAUUGGAUUUUCUUUCAGGGAUCAAUAAAGUUAUUCUUAUUCUUAUCCCUUGUAUUUUUCUUUUUUUUUGUAUGAUCUGGACUUAAUGGGUCUGAAAUAACCCUCUGCUGGGGCAACACUUAAUCUUCUGUAUCUUGUCCUGUGCUCUCCUAUUAUGCAAUGCAGUGGGGCGAGGUGUGUUUUUUUUUUUCUAAAUUCACUUAUUAGAAUGCCGGAGAUACUUGUAUUGAGUCCUGGCUUUUUGAUGUCACAUUAGACCUCUCUUAAACUUAAAUAAUAUUAACAGUAAAAUGUAUUAGGUUUAUGACCAAAAUUGAUUGUUUAGAAGAUUAUGAAGAAGAUAAUAGGGACAGAGAGGGUAGAUAGUGAGGACAAAGACAUGACUACUUCAAAGUAUAGAGACAUCUAG